rnacentral:rRNA from 1 species
UACGUAGGGCGCAAGCGUUUGUCCGGAAUUAUUGGGCGUAAAGAGCUUGUAGGCGGUUUGUCGCGUCUGCUGUGAAAUUUCGGGGCUCAACCCCGAACUUGCAGUGGGUACGGGCAGACUAGAGUGUGGUAGGGGGAGACUGGAAUUCUCGGUGUAGCGGUGAAAUGCGUAGAUAUCGAGAGGAACACCUGCGGCGAAGGCGGGUCUCUGGGCCGAUACUGACGCUGAGGAGCGAAAGCGUGGGGAGCGAACAGG